UUUAUUUUUUUUUUUGAAAAAAUUAGUAAUACCGUGAAUACCGUGGAAAUUGUCAUAUCGCAAAUAAAUAUGAAUGGCAAUGGUGCAGUUUCAGCUGCAAUUAAAGAAAAGCGACAAAGAAGUCGAAAUCUUUCGCCACAUGAAAAGACAGUUUUGUUAGAUCAGGUAACUGAACACUUCUCUGUGAUUGAAAAUCGUCGUACAGAUGCUGUCACACAACAGCAGAAGGCGAAAGAAUGGGAGAUUAUUGCUGCCGAAUUCAAUUCGAUUUGCAAUCAGUACCACCGAAUGCCAGACCAGCUGAAAUCGUCGUGGGAGAACAUGAAGAAACUGACGAGAAAGAUACAUGCCGACAACCGAAUUGAAACGUUAUGCACAGGUGGAGGCCCACCAAAAAAAACAAUUAAAGAUGAUCCACUGUUUGUUUGAAUUUAUGAGCUGAUUAGGCCCACAGUGGAAGGCAUGUAUAAUGCAUUUGAUACAGAUUCGAUUGCAGCACAUCUGGACACGUCUUCAGCCGGAAACACUGUACAUGCAGACUGUGGACAAGAAUCACAAAUAGAAACAUGCUCGAAAAAUGAAGACAUUGGAACUGUUGUUGAUGUUACUUAUGUGGAGUCAAGCGAAGAUGCUCUCCUCAAUGGAAACUGGACACAUUAUUCGCCAGCCAUGCUGAGGAAAACAAAGUGCUCGCUACUGAGGACUCCAGUGAACACUCCU